CGGAGCCCUGGUGCUGGCUUGGGCCAGUUGCAGCAGCAAAGGCAUGCCGUGAGCGCUUGCUUGAGGCGCCAACUGAACGGGGCUCACUCUCC
rnacentral:RNase_MRP_RNA from 1 species